GGAAGGCCACUUCGGUGGUACUCGAGCGGCGAACGGGUGAGUAACACGUGAGUAAUCUGCCCUUGGCUUCGGGAUAGCCACCGGAAACGGUGAUUAAUACCGGAUAUGACCACUUCUCGCAUGGGGUGUGGUGGAAAGUUUUUUCGGCCAGGGAUGUGCUCGCGGCCUAUCAGCUUGAUGGUGAGGUAAUGGCUCACCAUGGCUUCGACGGGUAGCCGGCCUGAGAGGGUGACCGGUCACACUGGGACUGAGACACGGCCCAGACUCCUACGGGAGGCAGCAGUGGGGAAUAUUGGACAAUGGGCGGAAGCCUGAUCCAGCAACGCCGCGUGAGGGAUGACGGCCUUCGGGUUGUAAACCUCUUUCGCCUGUGACGAAGCGCAAGUGACGGUAACAGGUAAAGAAGCACCGGCCAACUACGUGCCAGCAGCCGCGGUAAUACGUAGGGUGCGAGCGUUGUCCGGAAUUAUUGGGCGUAAAGGGCUCGUAGGCGGUUUGUCGCGUCGGGAGUGAAAACCAGGUGCUUAACACCUGGCUUGCUUUCGAUACGGGCAGACUAGAGGUAUUCAGGGGAGAACGGAAUUCCUGGUGUAGCGGUGAAAUGCGCAGAUAUCAGGAGGAACACCGGUGGCGAAGGCGGUUCUCUGGGAAUGACCUGACGCUGAGGAGCGAAAGUGUGGGGAGCGAACAGGAUUAGAUACCCUGGUAGUCCACACCGUAAACGUUGGGCGCUAGGUGUGGGGUCCAUUCCACGGAUUCCGUGCCGCAGCUAACGCAUU
rnacentral:rRNA from 1 species